CUUCAAAUCAAUUGCUGUUGAUGGCAACCGAUUGAUCACAAAACAAGCGGUUUUGACUGCUUUUGUCCAGAAUGACUUGGCUAACCUCGUAGUUCUCAACAUUGCUCUUGUUCUUUCUAACAAUGUUCUGUUCAUCCGCUCUGCCAUUCCAUUUUGUUAUGGAGUCUAUGCCAUCGUGAACUGUCUCUUGAUACCUUCUUGUUGACAAAAGUUAUCAAAUUCAUUACCAGUAUAUUCUCCUCCAUUGUCAGUCCUCAAACACUUGAUCCUUUUUUCAAAUUCAAGCUCCACACGCGCUUUGAAUAUUUUGAAAACCGUGAACACAUCUGCCUUCCUCUUGAUUGGAUAAACCCAACAUCUCCUGGAGUAAUCAUCAAUAAAAGAUACAAAGUAUCUUACACCUCCUAGGGAUAUAACCGGUACUUGCCAAAUAUCAGAAUGAACCAACUCCAAGAUAGCUUUACUUCUAGCAGUGGAACUGUCGAACUUCAAUAUGUGUUGCUUACUAGUAAUAAUGCUCACAAAAGGAUAAUGAAAGCUUUUUGAGCCCUGGAAAAAGCUUUUGUUCUGAGAAAAUUUUCAAACCACGUUCCAACAUGUGACCAAGCUUGUGAUGCCACAUCAUCAUUAAUUCUUCUGCUGAACCUAUCGAUGUGACAGAUGCUUCUCUUUCUUGUAGUGUUUUUCCUUUAAGCAUGUACAAAUUUGCAGCUAUCUUUUUCGCUUUCAUCACCACAAGCGCGCCUUUGAUUAUUUUCAUAAUCCCAUCUUGUAUAUGGGUUUUGCAGCCAAUGUUAUCUAAUUAUCAUAAAAAAAAUAGAUUUUUCUUCAAGCCUUUUACGUGUCGUACCUCCUGAAUAGUGCGAAUUGUACCAUCAUACAUUUUUAAUUUGAUAGUACUAAUACUAGCGAUAUCCAAGGCAUGAUCAUUUUCCAUAAAUAUAGAUCCUCCUGGGAUAGUCUCAUAUUGAUGAAACCAUUCCCUUAUUGGUGUCAAGUGCCAUGUAGCUCCUGAAUCCAUAAGCCAGACAUUAGAAAAUUUCUUUCUUUCUGCCUUCAACAACUGUUGUUGCCUCGCUGUAUAAAAUUUCACCAUCAUCUGAGGAGCUUGCUACACAAGCCUGAGCUUUUGACGUCUCAGGACCUUUUCCUUUGGCUUCUUUAUUUGUCUUGAGACUCCAACAGUCCCUUUUUAAGUACCCUUUCUUGCCACAGUAAUGACACUUGGCAUUUUUCUUACUCCUGAAUUUUGAUCUACUCUGAUUAUGACUCCCACUGGAGCCACGUUCCGUUGAUCUCCCUCUCAUCAUUGUUAAAGCUUCUACCUGAUGCGAACUUGUCAAUCUGUCAUCCUUGUUCUUGCGCCUACUUUCCUCUUCAAGAACAGCAGCUGCAACAUCAUCAAAGACUAGAGGUUCAAGGUUGUUGGUCAAGUUGAUGGUAAGUUGAUCAUACGAAUUUGGUAGGCUUUGAAGUAAGAUUUCAGCACGUUCACCCACCUCUAUAUUAUGCUCCAUUGAUGUGAGUUGUGAAAAUAGAGUAUUGAGGGUGUUGAUGUGGUCUGUCACCGUUUUUGACUCCAUCAUCCUAAGGGUGUAAAGCUUUCUCUUUAAGAAGAUUUUGUUGUGUAAUAAUUUGGCCUCUUAUAGCUUUGUCAACAUAUCUCAUAUCUCUUUGGCCAUCUUUUUCUCCGCCACACUUGACAAUACUCCAUUGGCUAGUGCAAGGUGCAAAUUAGCAACUGCGUUGCUAUCCAUCUCAUUCCACUUAGUAUCGUCAAUGAUCUCCACGGGCCUUUGUCUAAUUGCCGCCACACAGUUAUCUUUUCGCAAAACUACUUUUAUUCUCAUUUUCCAUAAUGAGAAAUUGUUCCCAUUGAACUUUUCAAUCUCAUCCUUUGUCGCCAUUCUGUUCACCAAUACCAUGACUGAACAACGACCCUACACAGAACCUAGCUCUGAUACCAUUGUUUGGAAAGAAACGUGUGGGUCAAGUUUGACUGACAAAUAAUGAAAUUGAGAAAACACAACUAAAAAUGGACACAAGUAUUUACGUGAUUCACCCAAUUUAGACUACGUCCAUGGGCAAGUAUAGGAAGAUUUCACCAUAGUAGGAGAAUUACAACACACUCUCUAAAUACAAGGAGAUAACAACAAUUAAUCUCUCUUGUAAUUAGGAGAAAACAAGUAGGAAAUACUCUCUUAAUUUUCUCUCUACUCAAUUUGCUUUCCACAAAUUUUUCUUCUCUACAUGCACUUAUUUCACUUGGCAUGUUAGCUCUCUAUUUAUAUAAAAGUUUGGCUACAAACAGUCUCAAUUUGUUUGGCCCAAAACCUACCAUC
rnacentral:lncRNA from 1 species